rnacentral:rRNA from 1 species
GACGAACGCUGGCGGCGUGCUUAACACAUGCAAGUCGAACGUAAGGCCCUUCGGGGUACACGAGUGGCGAACGGGUGAGUAACACGUGGGUGAUCUGCCCUGCACUUCGGGAUAAGCCUGGGAAACUGGGUCUAAUACCGGAUAGGACUCCGGACUGCAUGGUCUGGGGUGGAAAGCUUUUGCGGUGUGGAAUGGGCCCGCGGCCUAUCAGCUUGCUGGUGGGGUGAUGGCCUACCAAGGCGACGACGGGUAGCCGGCCUGAGAGGGUGACCGGCCACACUGGGACUGAGAUACGGCCCAGACUCCUACGGGAGGCAGCAGUGGGGAAUAUUGCACAAUGGGCGCAAGCCUGAUGCAGCGACGCCGCGUGAGGGAUGACGGCCUUCGGGUUGUAAACCUCUUUCAGCACCGACGAAGCGCAAGUGACGGUAGGUGCAGAAGAAGGACCGGCCAACUACGUGCCAGCAGCCGCAGUAA